GCACCCGUAGCUCAACGGAUAGAGCAUCUGACUACGGAUCAGAAGGUUAGGGGUUCGAAUCCCUUCGGGUGCAC
rnacentral:tRNA from 2 species